rnacentral:rRNA from 1 species
UACGUAGGGCGCAAGCGUUAUCCGGAAUUAUUGGGCGUAAAGAGCUCGUAGGCGGUUUGUCGCGUCUGCCGUGAAAGUCCGGGGCUCAACUCCGGAUCUGCGGUGGGUACGGGCAGACUAGAGUGAUGUAGGGGGAGACUGGAAUUCCUGGUGUAGCGGUGAAAUGCGCAGAUAUCAGGAGGAACACCGGUGGCGAAGGCGGGUCUCUGGGCAGUAACUGACGCUGAGGAGCGAAAGCGUGGGGAGCAAACAGG